rnacentral:rRNA from 1 species
UACAGAGGUCUCAAGCGUUGUUCGGAUUCAUUGGGCGUAAAGGGUGCGUAGGCGGCGCGGUAAGUCGGGUGUGAAAUCUUGGAGCUUAACUCCGAAACUGCAUUCGAUACUGGCGUGCUUGAGGACUGGAGAGGAGACUGGAAUUUACGGUGUAGCAGUGAAAUGCGUAGAUAUCGUAAGGAAGACCAGUGGCGAAGGCGGGUCUCUGGACAAUUGCUGACGCUCAGGCACGAAAGCGUGGGGGAGCAAAAAGGG